CACCACUCAAGCCUGGCUUGGUAUUGGGCGCCGCGGUGUUCCGCGCGCCUCAAAGUCUCCGGCUGAGCUGUCCGUCUCCAAGCGUUGUGAUUUCAUUAAUCGCUUCGGAGUGCGGGUGGCCGCGGCCGUUAAAUCUUUCACAAGG
rnacentral:misc_RNA from 1 species